rnacentral:rRNA from 1 species
UACAGAGGUCUCAAGCGUUGUUCGGAUUCAUUGGGCGUAAAGGGUGCGUAGGCGGCGCCGUAAGUCAGGUGUGAAAUUUCGGAGCUUAACUCCGAAACUGCAUUCGAUACUGCGGUGCUUGAGGACUGGAGAGGAGACUGGAAUUCAUGGUGUAGCAGUGAAAUGCGUAGAGAUCAUGAGGAAGACCAGUGGCGAAGGCGGGUCUCUGGACAGUUCCUGACACUGAGGCACGAAGGCCAGGGGAGCAAACGGG